GAUGAACGCUGGCGGCGUGCCUAAUACAUGCAAGUCGAGCGAACGGACGAGAAGCUUGCUUCUCUGAUGUUAGCGGCGGACGGGUGAGUAACACGUGGAUAACCUACCUAUAAGACUGGGAUAACUUCGGGAAACCGGAGCUAAUACCGGAUGAUAUUUUGAACCGCAUGGUUCAAAAGUGAAAGACGGUCUUGCUGUCACUUAUAGAUGGAUCCGCGCUGCAUUAGCUAGUUGGUAAGGUAACGGCUUACCAAGGCAACGAUGCAUAGCCGACCUGAGAGGGGGAUCGGCCACACGGGAGCUGAGACACGGUCCAGACUCCUACGGGAGGCAGCAGUAGGGAAUCUUCCGCAAUGGGCGAAAGCCUGACGGAGCAACGCCGCGUGAGUGAUGAAGGUCUUCGGAUCGUAAAACUCUGUUAUUAGGGAAGAACAUAUGUGUAAGUAACUGUGCACAUCUUGACGGUACCUAAUCAGAAAGCCACGGCUAACUACGUG
rnacentral:rRNA from 1 species